CGCGGCGCCGCCAUCCCGCACAACCGCCGUCCCCACCAGCCCCAUGGAUGGCCGACCCGCCGCCACCACCGCCGCCGCCGCGCAGGGGAGGAGGCGGGCCGCGUCGCAGGCUGCUCCCGUCAGUUCCUGAGGCGGGGACGGCGGCGGCCGCAGUUUAGCUAACAAUGGCAUCCACGCUAAAUCUGAAAGAAGUCACUGGCAACCAAAGUUCAUGGGAUACUAUGCUACCAGAUUUCCCUAAAGGACCGCUUUGCAGAUAUCGUAAGAAAGCUUCCUUCAACUGGAAGGAGAUGGCAGUGCUACUAGAUGGCAAAGAUAUCAUCCAGCUUAAGAACAUAAUCUUCUCUGCUCUGGAAAGUGAUCCUCUCUUUGCACAUCAUCCUGGAGAAGAUCUGUGCCGUGAGAAAUAUCAAGAGCUGACAUUCCUGCGCUGUAAAAGGCUCUUUGAGUAUGAUUUUCUUAGUCGGCAAGAGAUCUUAGAGAACCCAUUAAAGAUAUUUAAUAUGGUCAUCUGUAUAGGAAUGUACGAUUGGUCUCCAUGUCUCCAGUAUUUCUUACAUUGCGGUGUAUUCGCAGGUGCAAUUUUGAGUGCUUCUAAUAGGUUUGCAGACUUUGUGAAACAGGUUUAUAGUAUGGAGAUCUUUGGGUGUUUUGCUCUGACUGAACUCAGCCACGGAACUAAUACCAAAGGCAUACGGACUACUGCCACAUAUGAUCGUAGCACUCAGGAAUUUAUCAUCAAUACUCCUGACUUUGAAGCUGCCAAGUUCUGGGUUGGUAAUAUGGGGAAACAUGCCACUCAUGCAGUUGUGUACGCCCAGCUCUAUACUCCUGAUGGACAGUGCCAAGGAUUACAUUCCUUCAUUGUACAGAUUCGAGAUACAAAAACUCUCCUACCAAUGCCAGGUGUGAUGGUAGGUGACAUAGGAAAGAAACUUGGACUGAAUGGCCUGGAUAAUGGAUUUGCCAUGUUCCACAAUGUCAGGAUACCUAAAGAAAACAUACUGAAUAUAGCUGGAGAUGUCACAGCUGAGGGAAAGUACUCAAGUUCAAUCAAGGAUGUUAAAGAGCGUUUUAGUGCAUCUCUGGGAUCCUUGUCCACUGGCAGAAUUCUGAUCACAGCAGUUUCCACGACCAAUUUAAAGCUUGCCUUAUCGAUAGCCAUUCGCUUCUCAGCAGCUCGCCAUCAGUUUGGACCAACUGAUGAAGAAGAAAUACCUGUUCUUGAAUACCAAACACAGCAAUGGCGUCUUCUUCCUUAUCUGGCUGCUGCAUAUGCCUUAGAUUAUUUCUCCAAAUCCCUGUUUGAGAACUUUGUAGAAUUUUAUGCAGGCGUAUUGACAAAGCAAAGGAGUCAGAGACAGGCUGAUUUGGGACGUGAGAUUCAUGCCUUAUCUGCUGCCAGCAAACCACUGUCAUCUUGGACUGCUCAGCAGGCAGCCCAAGAGUGCCGAGAAGCUUGUGGAGGACAUGGUUACCUUGCCAUGAAUCGUCUGGGUGAAAUCCGAAAUGACAAUGAUCCAAACUGCACAUAUGAGGGAGAUAACAACGUCCUGCUUCAGCAAACUAGCAACUACUUAAUGAGCUGGAUGAAUUGCAUAAGAGAUAAAGCUCCUUUUGAAUCCCCUUUUGGAACAAUAAACUUUUUGCAAGACUACCAUCAUAUCCUUGGCUGGAAAUUCACACCCAUUAGCGGUGAAAAUUCCAUGGACUCCUCAGUUCCUUUAGCAGCAUAUAAAUGGCUGGUUUGCUACCUUCUCCGGGAAAGUGACCUAAAGCUGAGCAAGGAGAAACAGUCUGGGCGAAGUGAUUUUGAGGCAAAAAAUAACUGUCAGGUCUACUACUGUCGAUCAUUAGCCAUUGCUUUUAUUGAACAAACGGUCUUACAAAGAUAUCAUGACUUCACUCAUGAUCCCAACAUACCAUCUACUCUGCAGCCAGUGCUUAAGAAUCUCAGUGCUCUGUAUGGAUUCUGGUCUUUAAGUAAACAUCUGGCUGUGCUCUACCAAGGUGGCUAUGCUUCAGGUGAACAAGCUGGUAGAUUUAUUCAGAAUGCUAUUCUGGAGCUCUGCAACACAUUGAAAGAUGAUGCAGUUGCCCUGGUUGAUGUCUUUGCUCCUCCUGACUUCAUCCUCAACUCUCCCAUUGGUAAAGCUAGUGGAGAGUUAUAUAAAAAUAUGUGGGCAGAGAUCCUUCAAGUCAACAAAGCUCUGAACAGACCUUCGUGGUGGGCAGAAUUUUGUAUUAAUAAACCUGUUACAGGCAGGCUGAGGUCAAGAUUGUAAACCAAACAAGUUGUAGGAGGCUGGAUGGGCCUGAGAUGGAUACCGCAUUUCAAACAUCAGGAGGAAAUGAGACCAUAUGUCAGACAUUGAAAAUGAAAGAGAUUUUCAUAGAGAAGUGCCAAGUUUUAAAAUAACUUUGAAAUCCAGUCCAACUUGGUCUCAGGGACUGUAAUAAUAAUGACAGAAGCAAGAGCAACACAUCUGCACACUAUUCGUAUUUACUCAAUUAAAUACAAAAAAAUGAAGAUUCAUUAUGAUCACUGCUUCGCAAAGUUCCUAUAGAAGAAAUGUUCUAAUCAGUCUCUUGACUUUACUGUCAUAUUACAGAAGUUUAAUAAUUAAAAAACAUUUCCCACCAGGGAUUAUGAAUAAACUGAACAAAAGCAAAAUAAAAGAGAAUUUGAAGAAAAAAGGAAAAAGACAUCAAGAACACCAACAGCGAUAAACCUGUAUUAAGGGAUGUGAAUCAUUUCCGACAGCCCCUUUGAAGUCUGUGAAGCUGUUCUGAUUUACUUCGUAUGCCUCUGUGUUAAACUACUUGAUUGCUCUUUCAAUGCAGGAGAGGAUUGGGAUUUUAGAUAAUCUGUCUUUGAAUUGUGUAUAAUUCUGUAGAUAAAAUUAAUUGAAAACAUCUCAUUUAUACAUAUUUUUUUUUAAAUGUAUGGCAGUGCAAACUUGUAAGUUUUAUAUACCUUCCUGGUUAGUUAUAACAUUAUCAAGCCUGGGAUAUGUUGACACACAGAAACCGCAUCUGUUUUAGGUCAGAAUUAUUAUAAAUAUGGUUUUAUAAGAAUAUACAACAGUAGUAGGCAUUAUUCAACAUACUAGGAUAUUUCUCUUUCAGCUGUAUUAACUAUCAAAUAUUUUUAUUCACAAAUGGAAGAGACACUAACAAGGCUGUGAAGGUUCAGAAUAUUUUGUGUUUUAGAUACGCUGUGAAAAACAAAUUCAUUUUUUCCUUUAUUGUAUCUAUAAACUGAAGUACCAUUAAAACCUAAUUCCUGUUGCCCUUACUGUUGUGAGCAAUCCCAUCAUGCCAAAGAGAUUAUUUUAUAAGUUAAAAAAUUCAGUAUUGUUUAUGGCCAAUCAGGGACGAAUUAUGGUUUGGGCUACUAAAUAAAUAUGAUUUCAGUACUUGAGUGUUGAAUUCUACUUGAGCAGAAUGAGACCCUUGUCCUUGUGGGGUUUUAUAAUUUCAUUUGUUGUUGCAGUGUUAAUAUACAGAAGUUUGUAGGUCUUUACAGGCUGCCUCAAUGUGACCGAGUAAUUCUGCAGUCUUCUUUGAUUCCAUCAAGUCCAUUGAGGACUCCCAAAUGCAUCAUAAUGCAAACACAAUUUAGGACAGGCCAGACAGAAACUUUAUGAGCAUAGUGUGAGAACAUUCAGAGAGCAUCUCCCCCUCUGCUCCCCUGUUCUCAGACAACUGAUUGCUGAGACCCAACCUAUAUACCAUGUCAUGAAAAACAGAGAGGUGAGAAAAAGCAAUCAUUUCAGUGUUAACAAAGCCAGAUAUCCAUCACUGGAGGCAUGGACUCCUUGGGGAGCUGUCUAACUGCCACAAUUCUAGGAAAUCAAACAGUAAAUAACAUGACAAUAUGAAGAGAUGGCUCUUGGUGAAGCCUGUAGUAGUGGGACACCCCAUGUUAUCUUGGCUCAGAAGACAGGAGUUGGAAACAAUCACAGAUUGUUAGCUUUUAGUUGAAAGUAAUGUUCUUUUAGUAAAGAUAACUUCUUAGACAGACCUCGCAAUCUGAAAUAUUAAUGAUUUUACCACUGCAAGUUCAAAGUCAAUUAAAGAUGAUAGCCCUCAACACACUGCAGUUAAAAAAAACAACCCCACAACACAACAAGCAAACAAACAAAACCCCCAAAUGACAAAAUGUUUUUUGUAGUCCCUUUGGAAAAAUGGGUAUAAACUAUCUUGUUAAAGCUUGCCUGUAUUUUUUUUUCUGAACUUCAUUUUAUUUGCCAGAGAUAGUCAGUGUUGCUUGUGCUUUUUCUACCUCUGUUCUUUCUUCUUUUCUAGUGAGGUGCCAUAACUCAAGAUGUGCCAAUAGAAGCUCCUUGUCUAGCAAUUGAACUGUAGGAAACAAUCAAAAGUUUAGCUGCCUUUGCUGAAAAAAACCCGGUAUAUUUAUUUUUUGAACUGUUUUGCCUCUUCUAAUAACGUCCAAUAGGUGGCAUCAUCCCAUGGAAAAAAAAUAAAUCAAUACAGCUAAAUACCUAUAAUUAGAUAUUAUAGAAUCAUGGAGUCUCAUGAUUAUCUUCAUCUGUUUUCUGUGUCAAUAGGGAACCCAGCAAGUGCCUACUGCUCGCAUUUGUGCAGACCUGAAGGAAGCAGGGAGAGCACAUUAUGCCCAAUACCCAGUGUGAGCACCAGGAUCUCUGACAGUGAAAGGAGCAAGUGGGGAGCGAUGGUGUCAGGAGAAAGUCUUAGGGAGCCAGAUGGAAGCCCUGCCAUCUUUAUAGCUGCAGUUCUGUGCAUACAGGUUUCCCAGAGGUGCGUGUUUUCUGCAGAGAUAAGUAGACUCACUUGCUGCCAUUUCUGUCUGAAAGCUUCUUUCCCACUGUAGUAAAUGAUUUAUCAUGCGUUCUGCAGGGUAGCGAGUUUCUCUUCUGCUUGCCUUUAUUCAUGUAUUUUCUUUACUGACUUAAUGUGUUUUGAAACCUGAGUGGUGAUCUAAUACUAGCACAUGCUAUCAGCAUGACCGGUCUCUCUCAGGUGCGACCAUAUGGACAUCACGGAGGUCUGUGUUUCCUCUCGUAGCACUGUACCUUAGCAAUGUUUUGUUGUUCCCAAUUCUCAUUAGCCUGAGAUCAGAGUAAGGCUCCAGACCAUUUUAGCUCGGUUCACUGGCCUGAGGAGCACCAUAAGCAAAGGGGAGCUCGCUGCAUGAGACAUCCAUGUGAUAGUAUAAUCUGAGACAGACGGAUCCAGACAAGGGAAGGUCAGCUGUGAUCACAGCAGGCUGCCCACAACACUGUCAGUGGGAACAGAAGCAUAAAGCUUCAACCUUCUCCAAGCAAGGCAAGUCACAGGUUUAUCAAAUACAAGCAGAGCACUUCACAUAGUUUCCUUUCAGAGGCAGAGAGAUGAAUGCAGUUUUUGCUGAGAGCAACUGUUCUGCUGACUACCUUGCCUUUUUCUUUCCCAAAUUUUUGCAAUCUGGUUGCCUUUGUUCAGCAUUCCCACAGCAUGAAUCUCUCUUGAAUAAAUGCAGUUUCCAUCAGGAUUUACUUCACUGUGUUUGUCAAAAAACAGACCAGGAAGUGUGUGGCUAGAACAAUUCCCAAUGUAUUUCCUGAAGCAAACUUACACGUUUUUUUUACAUUUUUAUUUGGCAACUAUGGUCAACUGAGAUUUGAAGAAAAGUCCAAAGACCCAGUGUCAGUGGGCAAUAGCCCCCUUCACAUGCCCAUGUUCUUCCACCCUCCUGCCCUCCCAACUCAUUUCUCUUGCUUGUCAUCUUCUCUGUACUCAUAGCUUUGCUAAAAAUUCAUUUUUGCCAAAUCAUAAAAUAUCCAUUGCUAUUCCUCCUUUUACGCAAAGAAUACUUUUAAAUUGUAAGUCCUUUAAUAUAGAAAAUUCAUCAAUUCAUAAUGACAGUAUUGUUUAGGAGGACAGUUGCUUGCGGUGUACCUGCCAUGGAGAGAGAACCAGGAGUUGGAAAGCAGCCCGUGGAAGGCCCAACAGGGAGCUCUAGUUUGGUCAGACCUGUGACCACAAUAGAGACAUGCCUCAUGCUUUCAACAGGUGAUCCAUGGGCCAGGACACCUUCGAAAGCAUCCAGAGAAAAGCAACUCUACUGCCAAUGUGCCGUACAGCACAUACUGCACACUGGCCCUGCCACCUCCACGAGGUCUUUUGGAGCAGCCUGUACAUUAGUAAUGGAAAACCAUUGUCUGAGAACAAGACCUCUUUUAACAGCGUAAUACAUUAUUUUUGUAAAAUGUAAGAAUCAAACCAGGAGUCUACAGGCACACAUCAUUCCCCAUAGCAAAAAUACGAGCUGUGACGACAAAAUUGUUUAUAAUGAAGCAAAAAAAAAAGUACUCAACAAGUAGUUCUGCUUUGUAUUUCUAUGCUUUUAUCACCAGGAUGUGAUGAAAUACUUUCUAGUCCCUUCGUAACCCAGGAGGAUGUUAAGCAACACUUACUAUGGUAAACAGUUUAAAAUCAGCAGACCCAUAUAACUGGCAACAAAAUAUUGUGAAAGCUUGACUAGGAAGACUUGACUGGCCUACUCAUACUCAUUUCUGUUAUACUUAAGAGUAGCAAAGAAAUUCCACCAGAUUAGAGUUUGCUGAAUAUUAUACCAGUAUUUUAAAAGGACAAGAAAGUGGUGAACAUGAUUCUGUCACAAACAAAAUAAUGGAAAACACGAAGGAGGAUCCGACUAAGAAAACAUUUGGCAUAUAGUAAUACAGUAAGUAUCGAUCAGAAAUAUUAUAGAAAAUAGACUGUCAGACAAACCUGAUUUCAUUCUUGGAGGCGUUCCCAGGUAUUCUCAGACUUCGUUUUUUGAGUAUUAUGUGACAGGCAAUGCACAUACACACUUCUAAGACACCAUAGAUAGUGUUAUAUGACACUAUGAGUGAAAAAUCAGCAUUUUUUUCUGUAACCAUGAUGGACUGUGCAGGCUGGGUGUAUUUCUCCUUCUCAAGUAGAGGACAGCGGGAUGGCACUGCACCACCUCCAAAGUAUCAUCUGGUGACAGCUGCAGGGCCACCCUCGAACAGAGCCCACCGAUGAGACCAAAGAGUGGCCGUGACUGGAUCCGUGCCAAUGGGUUGUGUCUUGGGUGAACAACACUCAGUACACACAGGAAAACACACUUUAAUUGGAUUAGGAACUUCCUGACUGACAAGAUCUCAGAAAGCGGAGAAAUUAUUGACCUACCAGUGCUUGUUAUUUUCCUCAGUGAGCUGAAAGUAAUUGUAAAAUCUCUUUUACUAAAAUGAACAAAUUGGUUGACUGGUAAAUAAAGGUGAAAAAAGACUUGA